UCUAGGAAAUUCAUCUUGAUAGUCAAAUUGUAAAAAUAUCAAGAAUGAGAAUGUUCAGCUACGUGGAACACGUAAUCUAAACCCAGUUCUUUGCCAAUAGUACACGUUAAUUAUUAUUUAAGAUUUAAACAUGGUCUUAGUUUGAAUUAACUGGAAGAAAAUGCAGCUUCUCUUUGGAAGACCCAUCCAGUUGUUCUUUUUUUAUUGUUUCCAUCACUAUAGGGCAGAGUUAAAGCUGUUUGGAUGGCCUCAACUGUAAUUAUGCUAUUGCAAGCAAUUUAUGAAAUGUUUACAUGCAUAUAAUACAUUGUAUAUUAACUUCAUUAACCCUAAUGCGCUUUGGAUCAGGUCCAACAUUGAUGUGUUGCUGAAUUUGUAAAAUGCUUUGGGAUACUUCAGAUAAAAGGCGCUGUGAUAAAGUGGGAGUUAGUAAUUACCAUAAGCAUGAGGAAGUGGUUAUAUUUGACUCUAGCCAUUGACCCAUAACUCUUGGAAAGAAAUUGAAAACUAAAUGGGAGAGACUGCAGAGUAGCAUCCCAUCAGAAAAUCUGUGCAAUUUCCUAGUGUCUAAUCUAAGCAGCCAGUUCUGAAGGCAGAGGGUGAGAGGUUUUCAUCUGGUUACAGCUGAACAAAGUGCCGAGUGUGUCUUUCCCCAGCCUGCUCUCUGUGCUGAUCUGUGGGCUCGCCUGCAGCGCGGCCUCCGGAGCGUCAGCACGGCCAGCUGCACUGUUCCAAAGACAAUUCCCUGCCACAGGGUCCUCCUUCCCCUCAGCUGUAGUGACCACCCCUUCCCCUGUUGCCUACAACACCCAUCUUUGUGAUCAGUCACCCUGUGGUGAUCUGGUGUUGGUGUUCACCUCCACGGAGUUGCUGGGCUGAGUGCUGGCAAGGCCGCAGACUGACACGGUCAGGUACCGGCAGGACAGGAAUCGGCCAGGCUCCACAUCUCAUGAAAUCUGGGCAUCAUCUGCCUGGCUACCAGCAGUGGAACUUGGUUAGCAGGAGACAAGGAGAGCACAUCUGAACUUACAGCACCGUGUGUCUCACUGAGGCUGGGUUAUGUAGAGGUUUUUCCAAGCGUGUGAUUGCUACAACUGAGGGGAGGCCUUGUCCCAGUUUCCUCAUGAGGGAAAGCAGAGGGGCAGGCACUGAGCUCUUCUCUGCAGUGACCAGUGACAGGACCCAAGGGAACAGCCUGGAGUUGCAUCAGGAAGGUUUAGGCUGGGUAUUAGGAGUUCUUCACCCAGAGAGUGGCUGGGCACUGGAACAGGCUUCCUUGGAAAGUGCUCAGGGUCCCAACCCUGCCAGAGCUCACAGAGCAUUUGAACAACAUUCUUGGGCAAGGAGUGGAUUUUUGGAGCUGUUCUGUACAGAACAAGGAGCUGGGCUUUGAUCCUAGUUGAGUCCCUUCCAGCCCAGGAUAUUCUGUGAUGUCAGCGUAAGGAGGCUAAGCACAUUCCUUCUGAGAUAAGGGAAGAAGAGAAAACUUGCCUGUCUAGUGUAGUAGCAACUACUAAGUACAUCUUGUCCUUGUUUCUUGGGAUUUAUAUUUGGGGGUUUAAGUCGUCUAUUUUUGGUUUUUAAACAGAAGAUGGUCCAACUCCUGUAUGUUUAUAUAGAAAAUUCUACUGGAGGUGAUCCCAGUGCUAAUUGUUAACCAAUGAAUGUCACAAUAGCAUAGGCAAGAGCUCUCUGGACAGCAGGAGAAACAUGGAAACACAGAUACUUACAUGAAAUAGGCAGUGUGUUGGAAGCAUUACUGUCACCUCGUGUAUCUUCCCUUCAGUUAAAUCAGAAGGACAUAUCUGGCCAUUAAAACGUAACAUCUAAAAAAAUGGUGCAAACUGCUUGUGAAGUUCCAUGUGAAACAACUUCAGUUAAAGACGCUGCGAGACAAGACAAUGCAAGACGACAAUGAAGUCAGAAUAAUCUUGUGUGCAUAUGGAGAAUAACUUGUUCCACUGCUGUUGCCUCCUUUCACGGCAAACGUGUGGCAGAACUGCCUUUUCAAAAGUGGAUCAAAGAAUGCUACCAAUACAUUCUUCUCAUCUCCCAUUUAUCCUUCCAUGUCUGUCAUACAAACCAUUUAUUUUUAGGCUCCAAGGAAAGCAGAGAAAUUAAAUUUUCUGCCAACUUCAUUUCAAUGCCAUCUUCCUUUGUUUCUGAUUAAUUGGUGCACAGUGUGAUGUUCUUAAAUAAGCUGUUAUCUAACACAGUGGAAGUGAUGGAGAGGCAAGGGGAUCCCUGACAGUGACAUUACAGCUGCUACCUUAUAGGAGUGCUGUGGCUUUUCAUAUGUGAUUUGUGGUCUUCAGCUUCUCUUCAGCAAAUCACU